rnacentral:miRNA from 10 species
CCUGCGCCGGGCAGCCCCGCCCCCGCCUUUCCGGAGCCUUCUGGGGCGACUCCGCGGCGGCCAUCUUGACUGUGGGCAGCCGGC